CCCCCCUGUCAGGGCCCUGAUUGGGCCGGACAGGAGGCGCAGGAGAGGCCCGGGCUUUCUAAAGGACACCAACAGGUGGGAGGCCGCUUUGGAGGGGGGCGCUCCUGGGCGGGAUAGAAAAGGCCGAUCUGCAAGGCCUGUCGUGAGCACAAUCCAGCGGGCCAGAUAUGGAGGAGGAUGGUUGAUCGCAGGAGGGCUGAGGGGAAGAGAGCAGAGGGGUAGCUUGAGAUGAGGGUUGGCUUUCAGGGACAAGGAGGAAGGUUGGUUCUGAGAGUUUGGUGUGCUUUUGGUCAUAGUGUUCCUUUUAAAUCUCUGCUUUUUGACAACUUUUUGUAGCUUUUCUUUUGUGUUGGGUUAAUGUCAAAGGUUAAUAUUUGUCAUCAACAAAUGGGCAGUACAGUGACAAAAGAGUCAAAAGUCUUCCAGACCUUUUGAGUCUUUCUAGUUUCCUUGAUUUGCAGCACCAUGUGAAGAAAAUCAGGCGUCAAACCAGAUGUUUUCUGUAGGUUUUUUACGAUAGACACCGCGGCAGAGCCCGAAACCUCUGCCAGGUGAGGGGGGAAGCUGAGGUGUGAUACAGGAAAGAAUCAGGAAUCACAGUCCAAUCAAAGUCUUUCUAAUGGCCAUUUGGUUAGGAGCUGGUUGACAUACAGUAGCAGUGGUUAGAUGUAUCACUAGACAGUGUAGGAGAGGCAACCACAAGAAACCCACAAGAGGAGACGCAACAGAAUCUAAUAAAGGUAAGGCUGAAGAGGACAUGACGGCAGAUGAGCUCCACCCUCUAUUUCCCAUCUGUCUCCUCUCUCGUGUCCUUCUUUUUCUAUGCCCUCUACCCCCUGUAACCUUCCCUCCUCCUCUUCUUCCUCCUCUUCCUCCUCCUCCUCUCGCUCGCUCUGCCUCUUGCAGCUGAAGCAACACGCCUUGCUGUGGCUGGUCAAACGGAACCAAGUCAGGUGUUUCUGUGAGGUUUGGUCCCCUUCAACCAGCUACUGCGUCGUGAAUUCAGUCAGCGCGGAGUCAAAGACACAGUGGCGUUGUGGCGUAUACGCUGCAUACUACUGAUAGAUGAUUUCUUUUCUUCAGUUUGAUGUUGAUUUGUUUCCUGUAUUGCAAUAGAUGUUUGAAAAAGCAAAUAAAAGAUUGCUGAUAACAUAGAGUGGUAAAUUACAAUUUCUUCUUGUAAGUUGUAAGUUGUCCCUGGCUGUAGAUGAUUUAAUAAAUACACAAAAUGUCAUGCAGAGCAGAGAGAUUUACUGAUAAAUGAAUAAAGAUUAUAAGAUGUUUGAUGGGUAAAAUGAGCAGAAAUCCUCUUUAGGUAUAUUAGAAAUGAAUAUAAGUAAAACUGUGACAAGGUGGUCUGAUGAUUGUGAGCAGAAAGCUGUUAUAAAAGUGUGCAGAAUGUAAUGUUCAGCUUACAACUGGCAACUGUUUGUAACAAAAUGUCUAAUGAUAAGAAACUAAAUAAAAGCUAAUUACUGUUUUUUUCUCAUUCGCUUUG